CCAGGUUGUCCCACACUAUAUAAACGAACAGACGGCGCGUUUCUAUCUCUUCAUUUCAAGCUAAAGAAUUCAAAAGGUGGACUUCAACAGGCAUACGAUGAACCCUACCCAACCCAAUAUGGCUGCAUUGCUACUGAAGCACAGGCAUCUUCUGAGCAGACGGUGGAUGAUGAACAAAUGGAUAUGGCUUACAACCUCACUGAGAUGGCUUGAGAAUUAACCACUUGACAUUCUGAAGUUCUCGUACCAACUGAAAUGGCAGAUGUGAUGACCCAAUCACCUUGGGACUGAACAGCUGGUAUGGCGGUAUAGGUGUGCCUCAACACUCUAGAUGAAAUGGCCCAUCCAGGUCCCUGAUGGGACUGGCCAUCUGUCUUGCAACUGCCUCUGGGUGAAAUGACUGUUGGCAUUGACAAAUUCCACUUUCACAUUUAUGUACUCUUACUCAGGGUUUUAAGGUCUUGCGACAAGAUGGUUGGCGUGAAGGUGGUUGAGGCCAGUCUGUUUCUCUUGCCAGCUACUUGUUGCCUUCUGGGAUAAUCAGGACAUUGGUAGAUGCAGUCUACCACGGCACACGUAGUAAUUUAUUAAGCCCUUUUACAGAAUUUUUGUAACAAAGGUUGUACAUCUUCUAACCCUGAAAUGUAUAAAGAACUUCACUUAAUGAACUAAA